rnacentral:tRNA from 1 species
CACUUUUAAAGGAUAAAAGUCAUCCAAUGGCUUUAGGCGCC